UCUCUUUGUAGAACCAAGUUAAAGAUUUAACAUCAAGUGAGGAGAUGGAGAUAGAAGAAUAUUAUCAUGUUAGCACAAGCAGUAGUGGUGCUUCAUGUAGUGGUGCUACAUGUAGUGGUAAUGUCAUUACUAGACCACCAACCAUAUGCUGUGUUGAAAUAGACACAAAGAUGACAUAUCAUUAGUGCAAGAGGCUAGUGAAAUAUUCCUCAAUGAGCCGAUGGAAGUGGAAGCAGAUAUAUUAAUAAACCAUAACGAUACAGUUGGUAUUGACAACCAAAAACAUUUAUUUUAAAAAAAGAAACAAGAAGAAGAGAAGGGGGAGGAAGAAGAAGCAGAUAAAU